GUUAAGCGACUAAGCGUACACGGUGGAUGCCCUGGCAGUCAGAGGCGAUGAAGGACGUGCUAAUCUGCGAUAAGCGUCGGUAAGGUGAUAUGAACCGUUAUAACCGGCGAUUUCCGAAUGGGGAAACCCAGUGUGUUUCGACACACUAUCAUUAACUGAAUCCAUAGGUUAAUGAGGCGAACCGGGGGAACUGAAACAUCUAAGUACCCCGAGGAAAAGAAAUCAACCGAGAUUCCCCCAGUAGCGGCGAGCGAACGGGGAGCAGCCCAGAGCCUGAAUCAGUGUGUGUGUUAGUGGAAGCGUCUGGAAAGGCGCGCGAUACAGGGUGACAGCCCCG
rnacentral:rRNA from 1 species